UACGUAGGGAGCUAGCGUCGUCCGGAAUCAUUGGGCGUAAAGCGCGCGUAGGCGGCCCGGUAAGUCCGCUGUGAAAGUCAAAGGCUCAACCUUUGAAUGUCAGCGGAUACUGCCGGGCUAGAGUCCGGAAGAGGAGAGUGGAAUUCCCGGUGUAGCGGUGAAAUGCGCAGAUAUCGGGAAGAACACCCGUGGCGAAGGCGGCUCUCUGGGACGGUACUGACGCUGAG
rnacentral:rRNA from 1 species